rnacentral:rRNA from 1 species
CCUACGUGAGGCAGCAGUGGGGAAUAUUGCACAAUGGGGGAAACCCUGAUCCAGCGACGCCGCGUGAGUGAAGAAGUAAUUCGUUAUGUAAAGCUCUAUCAGCAGGGAAGAAAAAGACGGUACCUGCGUAAGAAGAAGCGGCUAACUACGUGCCACCAGCCGCGGCAAUACGUAGGGGGCAGGCGUUAUCCGGAUGAACUGUGUGUAAAGGGGGCGUAGACGGCAGUGCAAGUCUGUAGUGAAAGGCGGGGGGGUAACCCCCGGACUGCUGUUGAAACUGUACGGCUGGAGUGCAGGAGAGGUAAGUGGAAUUCCUAGUGUAGCGGUGAAAUGCGUAGAUAUUAGGAGGAACACCAGUGGCGAAGGCGGCUUACUGGACUGUAACUGACGUUGAGGCACGAAAGCGUGGGGAGCAAACAGGAUUAGAUACCCGAGUAGUC